GAUUCUGAUGAACUAUCAAAAUGUUUUUUGUUCUACGUUUGGUAAAUGGCCCUAGUUGUCAUGCAAUCUUAAACACAUUAAAGGUGAAAAAGCUUUUCUUCAAAGACUCAUUCAAAGCCGUGACUAAUCCUGCUCGCUCUCUCUCAUCUAAGGCAAGGCCUCACUAAUCAGAGCAGCCCUGUCAAGUCCCCUCUAUAGUCAGCUUACUACUGGGCCUCUGUCUUUAAACCUGAUCCUCUCCUUCUACUAGCAUGAUUUAAGGUUGGAGGUCUGGUGAAGAGGCAGAUUAGCAUAGGGAGCUAAAAAAAUGCUAGCUAGUCCUAAAAUAUUUUUCUCUGUUCUUACCAGGGGCCUCCAGGUGUAACAGGAGAGCAGGGCCUACCUGUGAGUAUAAGGUUAUUGCGUUACAUGAAACACACACAAAACACAUAACAAUUAAAAUUAUAUAUAUAUAUAUAUAUAUAUAUAUAUAUAUAUAUAAAUUUUUUUUUUUUACUUUUUCAUAGGGAGCCCCAGGGCCAAAAGGAGAGCCAGGUGAAGGUGUGAAUGAGGUAAGAGACAUGAGUGGCUUUUCCUUCUAAGCUCAUUUGAGGAACUGUCCUGAAUAAACAUGAUGGUGUUGUUCAGGGCGAGGCCGUGCAACAGCUCAGGGAAGCCCUGAAGAUACUGGCCGAGAGAGUCCUGAUCCUGGAGCACAUGAUUGGCGUUCAUGAGAACUCUGAAGGAUCUGCAUUUGACAGUACAGGCAUUUUGGACCAACUGUCUUUCUCGGCCAUAAACGUCAGACGCCUUCAGCAUGUCCAAACCCCUCUUCAAAGUCCAAUACUAAAGGAGAGGCAAAGAAAAGCUCCGCUUUAAAAGCAGUCUAAAUUUUGUAUUUGUUUUUUAAUAAUUGUGAAAGAUGUUGCAAAUUUUGCUUAACUCGACGUACAGGUUUUGUGCACAUAAUUGUCUUUACAUAUGUUUAUUUUUUGAAGUUAUUUUUUUUGUCUUAUGAUCUUUUUUUUGUCACAAAUAAGUACUGCCCUUUGCAGACAUGAGAUGUUGAGCAUUUCAUUCAACGGAAAGGCCUUUUUUUAAAAAUUUUUUUAUUCCUGCUUCAUGAUCUUAGUCUACAUAACCUUAGCAACAGCAAUUACAAGACGUUGUUCACUGAAACAUAAUCUCAGAAAUUGUUAUGGAAGCGUUUGGCAUCUUUCUCUGCUCAGAUGAAAUACUGCCCAGGAAACACAGCGGUUCCCUUGGCUCAGAGCUCUUGAGAGCUGGACCCAAAAUGAACUAUUUAGUGUCAAACACAUUCUUGGAAUGACCUUGAGGUUCAUCUUGUGUUAGCCUGUCGAACAUAUUUCUUCCUCUCUCCUCUUUUCUGUCUCUCUCUUUGUGCUCUGCCUUGUUGAAACUGAGGUAAGACGUGACAAGCUGCCAAGAAUAUCUGUUUAAAAUAAAUUUAGGUAAAAUAAAUAGCAUCUGGAGAGCACACAUCUGGAAAGCAAAAGCAAGCAAUGCUGAAACAGUUGAGUUUUGGCCUAGAAACCCUGCUUGGCUCCAGCGUACCUUCAUGUAACUGGCUGACGGAGCGCAAACCUGACAGAAUUACACUUGACUUCUUCAUACACAUGUUUCCAAACUGAUAUGAUUAUCCUAUUUAAUAAGUCUCUGCGAGACCAUGCCUGUUACUCUCUGGAUAAAGCUUUCAUCAUGUCUGGUACAGUCUUCAUUUUCUACAUUACAAGAUUCAUGAGUUAAAUGAACAGUGUGGCAUUAAACAUGUUCACUUAUUUGUACAGGAGGGAGGAUUGAUAGCACUCUUAUCUUAUUUCUGUCUGUUUAAUAUGAAGCAGCUGAUUGGAAAUGAAAACAACUAACACAGUUCUCAUAAAAGACUUGUACUACCACGCUGGCUCACGCUGAUUUAUAACUUAGAGAUGGAGAAUUUGAGAACUUCUGACAGCAAUGC
rnacentral:lncRNA from 1 species